rnacentral:rRNA from 1 species
AUUGAACGCUGGCGGCAGGCCUAACACAUGCAAGUCGAGCGAGCGGCUGACGGGUGAGUAGUGUCUGGGAACCUGCCUGAUGGAGGGGGAUAACUACUGGAAACGGUAGCUAAUACCGCAUACCAUCAGAUGUGCCCAGAGGGGAUUGGACAGUAGGUGGGGUAACGGCUCACCUGGGCGACGAUCCCUAGCUGGUCUGAGAGGAUGACCAGCAACACGGGAACUGAGACACGGUCCAGCCUCCUACGGGAGGCAGCAGUGGGGAAUAUUGGACAAUGGGCGCAAGCCUGAUGCAGACAUGCCGCGUGUGUGAAGAGGGCUUUCGGGUUGUAAGGCACUUUCAGCGGGGAGGCGUUACCUGCAGAAGAAGCACCGGCUAACUCCGUGCCAGCAGCCGCGGUAAUUC